rnacentral:rRNA from 1 species
UACAGAGGGUGCAAGCGUUGUUCGGAAUUAUUGGACGUAAAGCGCGUGUAGGCGGCUUUGCAAGUCGGGUGUGAAAGCCCUCAGCUCAACUGAGGAAGUGCGCCCGAAACUGCAGAGCUUGAGUACCGGAGAGGAUGGUGGAAUUCCCCAAGUAGAGGUGAAAUUCGUAGAUAUGGGGAGGAACACCGGUGGCGAAGGCGACCAUCUGGACGGAUACUGACGCUGAGACGCGAAAGCGUGGGUAGCAAACAGG